CGAUUGGGUAGAGGCUGCAUUGCUUAUUAGUCACACACGCGAGAUUGACACCGAUGACCGUGUGUAAAAGGAAGCUUUGCCGAAGUUUGGUAAGAUCGUCGGGAUCUAUCAGGCUGGGGUUAUUCCGAAUAGGGAUAACACUGUCAUACAUUUUUGAACAUGUAUGAUGAGCUACAAGUCGU
rfam:Sporosarcina psychrophila strain DSM 6497, complete genome.